rnacentral:rRNA from 1 species
UACGAAGGGGGCUAGCGUUGCUCGGAAUCACUGGGCGUAAAGCGCACGUAGGCGGAUUGUUAAGUCGGGGUGAAAUCCUGGAGCUCAACUCCAGAACUGCCUUCGAUACUGGCGAUCUUGAGUCCGGGAGAGGUGAGUGGAACUCCGAGUGUAGAGGUGAAAUCGUAGAUAUUCGGAAGAACACCAGUGGCGAAGGCGGCUCACUGGCCCGGUACUGACGCUGAGGUGCGAAAGCGUGGGGAGCAAACAGG